CAUUUCACAUUAUUAUUGUUCUCUAUUCUGCAGGGGAGAAAAAAAAAAAAUAAUCCCAGACAAAUGCCUUUCCCCAGGCGAAGGAGCGGGACUGGAAGACCUGGAGGGAUGAUGUUCAGCCUGCAAACUUGUUUUCUCCUCCACCGAGUGUUGCAAUCGAGAUCUCUAAAUCGAUUCCUGAAUGACUGAACAGUUUGUCUAGGAAAACAGCGAGAGAGGCUGAACACGGAAUGAACAGUCAGUGUGGCAUGAAGACAGAGAAGAGCAACUGUCUGUACAAGGAUGGAUAAGAAAACAGAAAAUAGAAUCCGUUUUGUUUUCACUGCCUUAGAACUUGACUAAAAUGCAGCGUCAGCCUGUGCCAAAGUCUCCAUUUUGAAGGCGAGUUGAGGUCCUGGCGUUCCUCGUGGCUGCAGAGCAGAAGGGCACAUCCCCAGGAGGUCAGAGGAGAGAGGAUGCCUGCAAGCGUGCCUCAUGCCGUGCCAAGCGUGAACUGGCUGCUCUCGUUUAACUGCCCUGACGCAAGGAGCUCUUUCCCCAGGUACUGUAAGGACCCAUCCCAAACAUCCUCUGGUUUUCAGCUGGUGCCUGCACACUGGGAUUCUAUCAGGAUAACACAAACCCAGCACGAGGUACAGUGUGGUCAUGCUGCUCUUUAGCACCAGGAGGCAGGAAAAUUUGGGAUCUGUUUCCAGCCAUCCCGCUGGGACCACUCCAUGUGCACAGGGGAACCGGACCUACAGCUCCUCUGGACUUUCAGCUUAGGAUCGCACUUGUGUAGAAACGCUUUGUAAGUCCCAUAUAUUGUCAGUAUAACCAAUUAAAGUUUAAUAAGGUGCUUGGUGGUAGUGCUGCUA